rnacentral:tRNA from 2 species
GGUAGCUCAGCGGUAGAGCAUUCGACUGUUAAUCGAAUGGUCGCUGGUUCGAAUCCAGCC